rnacentral:rRNA from 1 species
GCAGCCGCCGCGGGAAUACAGAGGAUGCAAGCGUUAUCCAGAAUGAUUGGGCGUAAAGCGCGCGCAGGUGGUUUAAUAAGUCUGAUGUGAAAGCCCACGGCUCAACCGUGGAGGGUCAUUGGAAACUGUUAAACUUGAGUGCAGGAGAGAAAAGUGGAAUUCCUAGUGUAGCGGUGAAAUGCGUAGAGAUUAGGAGGAACAUCAGUGGCGAAGGCGGCUUUUUGGCCUGUAACUGACACUGAGGCGCGAAAGCGUGGGGAGCAAACAGGAUUAGAGACCCCGGUAGUCCCUGUCUCUUAUAC